GGUGAAUCAAUGUUGUAGAAGAUGACGGUUGGUGAUGACGGCGUUUCCAUGUUCACUACGGAGCCUCUGAACGUCCAAAUGGGUCAUAUCUGAUGACCGUGAAAAGCUGAUCAACUGUAUUUUACUUGCAUUAUUUCAGUCCCAUGUUAGGAUUAAAGGUUUAGAAGUUAAA